UUGGCAGAUCAAGGGUUCAGAUGUACGAGUAACCAUUUGUACCAAUGCAUUGUGCCACACCCAAUAGUUACCGAAUUGGCGGGACGGGAGCUCAGCAUUUCUUACGACACAAGAGACCAACCGAUAAAACAUGAUAGAAGAUUUUAAUUAUUUAUCAAAGUUUUAAAAAAUAAUGCUUAGAGGAAGAGAGAGCUUGGUCCGAUUAAUCGGCAGGCGUAGGCGAUUUCUGCUAAAUCGUCAAUCUCUUCUCUCUUCUCCUAUCCAGAGCUCUUUGAAUCUUUGCACUGAUAAAAAUGGUGAAAUCUUUUCGGCUAAAACGGACGAUUACAAAGCUUCUAAUGUUGUAAAGUGCCCUAUAUGUGGUAACAAUGUCUCUGCUGAUGAUAAUAUCAUCAACACUCAUCUUGAUGCCUGCCUGUCUAGAGGAACCAAAAGAAAAUUGACGCAACGCACUCUUCUGCAAUUGAACUUCUGUACACAAUCAAAAGGUCCAAUGUAUUCAAAUGUAACAGAACGGCAAACUACUAAUGUCGUAACUGAGGAUCCUGCUAAAAGUCUUGUGCCGAAUGCCAUUUGUGGAUUGGAAAACACAGUUGCAGUUGAAGAAGAUGAUAAUAACCAUGCAGUAUCUCCACUACAAUUUGAAUGUAUGGAGCAUACUUCCAAGGCUGGUCUAACCAAAAACCAAAUUAACCAUCAGAAGAUCGACUGCCAGGAUGAGUUGCCUUCAUCUUCACCAGAUACUGAGGUUCCCAAACCUGACAUAGACUUCACUUUUGAUGGCAUAUCUGGGGCCACUCUCCAAACUUUUAUUGUAGGCCGUAGGUUUAGCGAUGAAAAAGAGAUAAAUCUUGAAACUAGUAUCUCUCUGUUAAGAGACCCUCAAAAUCCUAAGGAUCCCUAUGCUAUCAAGGUACUUUGUGCAGAUUCUGGAAGCUGUAAAGUUCUUGGGUAUCUUCCUCAAGAGUUAUCUCAAUAUUUGUCUCCUUUAAUUGAGAAGUCCUGCCUGAGUUUUGAGGGUUAUGUGACUUCAGCACCCAAACAUUCUCAUGAUGUUGUUCCAAUUAAAAUUACAUGUCACAAGCUUGUAUCAGAUUGUGAGAUAGAUGAUGAUAUUGAGGUUUUCAAUUGUCUGUGGAAAAGGGCUUUACAUGUGGUUGAAUCUGCAAAGAAUUAUCCAUCAAGUAUGAUAAAAUAUCAGCACAACUUCAAUCUGUUAGUACAAGAAGUACUAAGAAGUAAUCCUCACCUUUUCACUGAUGAUGAAAGAGUUUUCUUGGAAUCAUUCUCCACACUGUCUGCCGAUGGUCAGAGGCUUUUUAUUCGGCUUUAUACAAGGAAAGGUCCAUGGUUUCGACUGUCCAGUAUUUCCUAUCGUGAAGUGUUGGAUUCUCAAGAAGCAGUUAAGGAGCUCUUGGCUAAUGGCUAUAUAUGCUCUUUUGGAGACAAAAAUGAACUGCAUGAUGACAUGAAGGAGAUUUGCAAUUUGCUCACUGUCUCUGAGCUGCGUGAAAUUUUAAGUGUUCUUAAAAAGAAUUGUGUUCGUGGUUCAAGAAAGCAGGAUCUUGCCAUGUUUCUUCUUCAUUCCUAUGAAGAUGGUUUAUGCACGCUCCUGCCAGACAUGAUUCUUGAUAGAACAGGCAUCUGCAUUAGAAUAUCUUCAAAAGCUGAGUCCCUUAUCUGGCGUGCUGAGAGGCUUUUCUUCCUCAAUGGAGAGCAGGAUCUGUCAGCUUUUCUGCUAGUUGAUUUAGGGAUAGUCAAAUAUCCAGCUUACAACCGCAUAAUUUCGGAACAGAUUUUCUCAAGUCUAAGUGACCUUCUUGCUUAUGAAGAGGCUAUUGAACUAGCGCAAAUAAUGGAUCAAUCUCUGGAUGAAAACAAUGUUGAAUUAGUGUCAAGAUGUAUUAUGAUAGCUGACUCCUUUAUGCCUUGCACUUAUUCAGAAACAAUUCAAUCUACAACUUCUGAAUUAGCUAGUACAUUUCAUUCCCGCUUUUCAGCAUCAUGGGUGUACUCUAAAGUGGUCUUGUUAGGAAUUUCCUUCCUUGAACGUGAGCAUCGGUAUCAUGAUGCUGUAAAUUUACUGAAACGGUUGCUUUGUAAUUUCCCUUGUGACGGGAGAAGAGGAUAUUGGACACUGAGGUUGUCAGUUGAUUUAGAGCAUCUGGGGUGUUCAAAUGAGAGCCUAUUAGUUGCUGAAGCUGGGUUAUUGGAUCCAUGGGUUCGUGCUGGUUCCAAAAUGGCCCUGCAAAGGAGGGUUCUUCGCCUGGGAAAACCACCAAGGCGGUGGAAAACCCCUAGCUUUUCAGAAUCCAUUAAAAGGAAGAUCAUUGAGGUCCAUAUUCAGGGGAGACCAUUAAAUUGUGAAAUGGGUAUGAAAAGCAGAUUUUAUGGAGAAGAUGGGGAACAAUGUGGAGUGGAGCAGCUUGCUUUACAAUAUUAUGCUGGGGAAGGCGGUGGAUGGGAGGGUGUUCAUACAGAGAGUGGCAUUUGGUUGACUAUUUUUGGGCUUCUCAUGUGGGAUAUUGUGUUUUCUGAUGUACCUGAUGUUUUUCGCUCCAAAUUUCAGAAUGCUCCCUUGGAUUUGGAUACAGAUAGCUUUUACCCAGUUAGAAAGAACCUAAUAGAAUCUCAGCUACAAAAAGUUCAUGAUGGUAUGGCUGAGGAGAUCCUCAUUACUUCAUGGGAAUCAAAUGUGGGAACAGCUUGCAGAGGAGUUAAUUGGGAUCGACAUUCCCUGUCUGAGCUUCGAGCAGCGGUUACCUGCAUUGGUGGCCCUUGUUUGGCCUCAUUGUGCCGACAUCUCGCUCAAGAUUACCAGAGUUGGUCAAGUGGAAUGCCUGAUUUGUUGUUAUGGCGUUUCCAUGGAGAAUACAGAGGUGAAGCGAAGCUUGUUGAAGUUAAAGGCCCCAGGGAUAAACUCUCUGAACAGCAGAGAGCAUGGCUACUUGUGUUAAUGGAUAGUGGGUUCAAAGUUGAGGUCUGUAAAGUGAGUACCACACCAAAAUCUUCAUUGCUGUGAUUGCUUGGAAGAAAGUUGAAGAACAUUGAGUUUUACAAACGUUGGAAGUUUGUUCUGCCAUUUGAAAUUUGAAGAUUGAAAGAAAUAUCUGUUUGGAAACCCUAGCUCCAAUUGCUGCUUUUUCAAGAUGGUGGCUUGUCAAUUUAAGGCGAUGGUAGCUCAUUGGCAGUGAUAGGAGCCAACCUGAGCAUGCAAGGGGAAGAGUAAAUGAAAAUGAGAAAAGAGGAUGUUGAGUAAAUUUGAUAUCUAAAAAAGAUUUUUUAAUUUUUUUUAUUUAUUUGGGAUGAUAAUGUAAUUUUGAAAAGUAAAAUAGUUAAACAUUACAUGAUAAUUUAACAUUCUUAUGUGAGAAUUCUUUUAUGUUAAUAGAGUUCAAAUUGGGUGAAA